UAUGCGUCCUUGCCCAGCCCGCUCAGUCAGAGUUUGAUCCUGGCUCAGGACGAACGCUGGCGGCGUGCUUAACACAUGCAAGUCGUACGGUAAGGCCCUUUCGGGGGUACACGAGUGGCGAACGGGUGAGUAACACGUGAGUAACCUGCCCACAACUUUGGGAUAACGCUAGGAAACUGGUGCUAAUACUGGAUAUGUGCUCCUGCUGCAUGGUGGGGGUUGGAAAGCUCCGGCGGUUGUGGAUGGACUCGCGGCCUAUCAGCUUGUUAGUGGUAGUGGCCUACCAAGGCGGCGACGGGUAGCCGGCCUGAGAGGGUGACCGGCCACAUUGGGACUGAGAUACGGCCCAG
rnacentral:rRNA from 1 species